CCUACGGGUUGCAGCAGUGGGGAAUAUUGCACAAUGGGCGCAAGCCUGAUGCAGCCACGCCGCGUGUAUGAAGAAGGCCUUCGGGUUGUAAAGUACUUUCAGCGGGGAGGAAGGCGAUAAGGUUAAUAGCCUUGUCGAUUGAUGUUACCCGCAGAAGAAGCACCGGCUAACUCCGUGCCAGCAGCCGCGGUAAUACGGAGGGUGCAAGCGUUAAUCGGAAUUACUGGGCGUAAAGCGCACGCAGGCGGUCUGUCAAGUCGGAUGUGAAAUCCCCGGGCUCAACCUGGGAACUGCAUUCGAAACUGGCAGGCUAGAGUCUUGUAGAGGGGGGUAGAAUUCCAGGUGUAGCGGUGAAAUGCGUAGAGAUCUGGAGGAAUACCGGUGGCGAAGGCGGCCCCCUGGACAAGGACUGACGCUCAGGUGCGAGAGCGUGGGGAGCAAACAGGAUUAGAUACCCGUGUAGUC
rnacentral:rRNA from 1 species